rnacentral:rRNA from 1 species
CAGUCGCCGCGGGAAUACGUAUGUCACAAGCGUUAUCCGGAUUUAUUGGGCGUAAAGCGCGUCUAGGUGGUUAUGUAAGUCCGAUGUGAAAAUGCAGGGCUCGACUCUGUAUUGCGUUGGAAACUGUGUAACUAGAGUACUGGAGAGGUAAGCGGAACUACAAGUGUAGAGGUGAAAUCCGUAGAUAUUUGUAGGAAUGCCGAUGGGGAAGCCAGCUUACUGGACAGAUACUGACGCUAAAGCGCGAAAGCGUGGGUAGCAAACAGGAUUAGAUACCCCUGUAGUCCCUGUCUCUUAUACC